rnacentral:rRNA from 1 species
AUACAGAGAGUGCAAGCGUUAAUCGGAAUUACUGGGCGUAAAGGGUACGUAGGCGGUUUAUCAAGUCAGAUGUGAAAUCCCCGGGCUUAACCUGGGAACUGCAUUUGAAACUGAUAGACUAGAGUGAGUGAGAGGUUAGUGGAAUUCCAGGUGUAGCGGUGAAAUGCGUAGAGAUCUGGAGGAACAUCAGUGGCGAAGGCGACUAACUGGCACUACACUGACGCUGAGGUACGAAAGCGUGGGGAGCGAACAGGAUUAGAUACCCCAGUAGUCC